rnacentral:rRNA from 1 species
CUGCUGCCUCCCGUAGGAGUUUGGACCGUGUCUCAGUUCCAAUGUGGGGGACCUUCCUCUCAGAACCCCUAUCCAUCGUUGUCUUGGUGGGCCGUUACCCCGCCAACUAACUAAUGGAAUGCAUCCCCAUCCCAUACCGAAAUUCUUUAAUAAUCCCAUCAUGCGGUAGGACUAUAACAUCGGGUAUUAAUCUUUCUUUCGAAAGGCUAUCCCCGAGUAUGAGGCAGGUUGGAUACGUGUUACUCACCCGUGCGCCGGUCGCCAUCAAAAG